ensembl:lncRNA
UUCCUUGAAACUGGGUCUUGUUGUGAAGAGCUGCAGGGUCCCGGGAGGGGAAUCUUGGUGAAUGUGGGGGCUUUGCUGGGUGUGCUGACUCCAGGUCCCUCCCCACCAGCUCAGUGUCUGGCACUGGUGGAGGCCCCCCUGCUUCUGGGAGGCCUGAACUGCCCCACCCUCGGCUCCUCACCCUCCCUCUCUCAGGCUCCUGCCACCCUUCCUUCCUUCUCCAAAACUUACUUCCUCUUGCUGACAUCCCAGCCAGCACUGACCGUCAGCCAGCCAGCUUCCUACAGUGGGAGGCCCCGCACUGGGGAGAGCGUGCUGAAGAGGCUCCCCAGGGUCCCUCUGUGACCUGGUGUUUGCUUUUGCUGACAAAGGGGCUGGGAAGCCCCUCUGCCCUCCCGCGUGUACACUGGUGUGAUUCAGGAGUCUGCACUGGAACCCUGCAUCAAAUUUGGAAAACUCAGCAGUGGCCACAGGACUGGAAAAGGUCAGUUUUCAUUCCAAUCCCAAAGAAAGGCAAUGCCAAAGAAUGUUUAAACUACCACACAAUUGUACUCAUCUCACAUGCUAGCAAAGUAAUGCUCAAAAUUCUCCAAGCCAGGCUUCAACAGUAUGUGAAUGGAGAACUUCCAGAUGUUCAAGCUGGAUUUAGAAAAAGCAGAGGAACCAGAGAUCAAAUUGCCAACAUCUGUUGGAUCAUAGAAAAAGCAAGAGAAUUCCAGAAAAACAUCUAUUUCUGCUUUAUUGACUAUGCCAACGCCUUUGGCUGUAUGGAUCACAACAAACUGUGGAAAAUUCUGAAAGAGAUGGGAAUACCAGACCACCUUCCCUGCCUCCUGAGAAAUCUGUAUGCAGGUCAAGAAGCAAGCAACACUUAGAACUGGACAUGGAACAACAGACUGGUUCCAAAUUGGGAAAGGAGUAUGUUAAGGCUGUAUAUUGCUUAUUUAAAUUCUUUGCAGAGUACAUCAUGCGAAAUGCCAGGCUGGAAGAAGCACAAGCUGGAAUCAAGAUUGCUGGGAGAGAUAUGCAGAUGACACCACCCUUAUGGCAGAAAGUGAAGAGGAACUAAAGGAGCCUCUUGAUGAAAGUGAAAGAGGAGAGUGAAAACCUGGCUUAAAACUCAACAUUCAGAAAACGAAGAUCAUGGCAUCUGGUCCCAUCACUUCAUGGCAAAUAGAUGGGGAAACGAUGG